GAUUUAUUAAAUAGCCGCAAUUUCGUGCUAAGGUAGCAUAAUCAUUUGUCUUUUAAAUAAAGACUAGAACAAAAGAUUUAACAUUUCAAUUUACUUAUUUAAUUUUAAUAUUUAAAUUUAUAUAAAUGUAAAAAAACAUUUUCAAAUAAGAAAGACGACAAGACCCUAUUGAACUUAACUUUAGUUAAACUGGGGCAGUAAAUUAAUUAUAAUUUUAAUUAAAUUAAAUUCAACAAUAAUCUAAUACUAUUAAUAAUCCAGUUACCUUAGGGAUAACAGCGCAAUUAUAUCUUAAAGUUCUUAUUUAAAAAAUAGAUUACGACCUCGAUGUUGAAUUAAUAACCUAAUUAAAGCAAAUUUUAAAACAGGAAGUCUGUUCGACUUUUAAACAAUUACAUGAUUUGAGUUCAGACCGGUAUAAGCCAGGUCGGUUUCUAUCUUCUUUAAAGUUUUUUACAGUACGAAAGGACCCAAUAAUAUUUUAUUCAAUUGGCAGAAUAAUGCAUUAGAAUUAGAAUCUAAUAAAACU
rnacentral:rRNA from 1 species